rnacentral:rRNA from 1 species
AACGAACGCUGGCGGCGGGCCUCAUACAUGCAAGUCGAGCGCGAAAGUCCGCAAGGAUGAGUAAAGCGGCGCACGGGUGAGUAACACGUGGAUAAUCUACCCUUUGGAUUGGAAUAACCUGUCGAAAGACGGGCUAAUGCCAAGUAAGCUCUCGGAAAUGUGAUGUUUCUGCGAGGAAAGAUGGUGCAAGCUAUCGCCGAUGGAUGAGUCUGCGUCCCAUUAGCUAGUUGGUGGGGUAAAAGCUUUACCAAGGCAAUGAUGGGUACCUGGUCUGAGAGGAUGACCAGGCACACUGGAACUGAAACACGGUCCAGACUCCUACGGGAGGCAGCAGUGGGGAAUUUUGGACAAUGGGGGCAACCCUGAUCCAGCAAUG